rnacentral:rRNA from 1 species
AUUGAACGCUGGCGGCAUGCCUUACACAUGCAAGUCGAACGGCAGCACGGGAGCAAUCCUGGUGGCGAGUGGCGAACGGGUGAGUAAUAUAUCGGAACGUGCCCAGUCGUGGGGAUAACGUAGCGAAAGCUACGCUAAUACCGCAUACGAUCUAUGGAUGAAAGCGGGGGAUCGCAAGACCUCGCGCGAUUGGAGCGGCCGAUAUCAGAUUAGUUAGUUGGUGAGGUAAAGGCUCACCAAGCCGACGAUCUGUAGCUGGUCUGAGAGGACGACCAGCCACACUGGGACUGAGACACGGCCCAGACUCCUACGGGAGGCAGCAGUGGGAAUUUGGACAAUGGGCGCAAGCCUGAUCCAGCAAUGCCGCGUGCAGGAUGAA